CCUACGGGGGGCAGCAGUGAGGAAUAUUGGUCAAUGGCCGUAAGGCUGAACCAGCCAAGUAGCGUGAGGGAAGACUGCCCUAUGGGUUGUAAACCUCUUUUAUGCGGGGAUAAAGGUGUCCACGUGUGGAUGUUUGCAGGUACCGCAUGAAUAAGGACCGGCUAAUUCCGGGCCAGCAGCCGCGGUAAUACGGCGGGUCCGGGCGUUAUCCGGAUUUAUUGGGUUUAAAGGGAGCGUAGGCGGGUCGUUAUGUGUGCUGUGAAAUUUUGUGGCUCAACCAGGAGAGUGCGGCGCGAACUGGAGACCUGGAGUGCGCGGAAGGCAGGCGGAAUUCGAGGUGUAGCGGUGAAAUGCUUAGAUAUCACGAAGAACCCCGAUUGCGAAGGCAGCCUGCCGCAGCGUUACUGACGCUGAGGCUCGAAAGCGCGGGUAUCGAACAGGAUUAGAUACCCGAGUAGUC
rnacentral:rRNA from 1 species